rnacentral:misc_RNA from 1 species
AAAGUCGUAACAAGGUCUCCGUUGGUGAACCAGCGGAGGGAUCAUUACAGAGUUGCAAAACUCCCUAAACCAUCGCGAACCCACCCCUAAACAGUUGCUUCGGCGGCGCCAGAGGCCCUACGGCCCGAGGCCCGCCGGGGACCCCCCAAACUCUUGUUUUUUCACAAAUGGCCUCUCUGAGUACUGUACUUUAAUAAGUCAAAACUUUCAACAACGGAUCUCUUGGUUCUG